CCUACGGGAGGCAGCAGUAGGGAAUCUUCCACAAUGGGCGAAAGCCUGAUGGAGCAACGCCGCGUGGGUGAAGAAGGUCUUCGGAUCGUAAAACCCUGUUGUUAGAGAAGAAAGUGCGUGAGAGUAACUGUUCACGUUUCGACGGUAUCUAACCAGAAAGCCACGGCUAACUAUGUGCCAGCCGCCGCGGUAAUUCGUAGGUGGCAAGCGUUAACCGGCUUUAUUGGGCGUAAAGGGAACGAAGGCGGUCAUUUAAGUCUGAUGUGAAAGCCGUCGGCUUAACCGGAGUAGUGCAUUGGAAACUGGGAGAAGUGAGUGCAGAAGAGGAGAGAGGAACUCCAUGUGUAGCGGUGAAAUGCGUAGAUAUAUGGAAGAAAACCAGUGGAGAAAGCGGCUCUCUGGUCUGUAAAGGACGCUGAGGGUCGAAAGCGUGGGUAGCAGACAGGAGUAGAUAAUCCGGUAGUC
rnacentral:rRNA from 1 species